GGCAUUUCCCAGUGAGUUACUCAGCUCUUGGUCAGAGGUUUCCUGUCUAUAAGAUUCCAACAAGGAACCCUUUUCCUUGCACGGAAUUGAGCUUGGGCGAUGACAAUCAUGUAACACCCUUUCUAAGAGUUCAGCUUCCUGAGUUAGACAUUUCCCAUGGUGGCUUUUUAAUCGCUAGAGAAUAUUCUAUUCAGCCCAGUUUUUCCUAGGGGGUUUUGCUGCAUUUAUCUAAAAUAAUGCUGUGUGUAAACAGAAUGUUCUUACCUGAUGAACGGGACAUGGUAUGGACGUACAAAGAUAUAAAGACAGACGCCCACCAGCUGUGCCGAAGUCAACAGAAUGUAUCUAUGAGAGCGUGAGAUGGCUUUCUGAAGCUGUUCACCCCACAUCUUCUUGUUGGUAGUACUGGAAGAGAAAAGGAAAGGAUGCUGUUUACAGGUGGCUGGAAGUACAUCUAUCUCCCACCUACCAAAUGCUCCAGCCCAAGCCUAUUCUUUUUGCAGAACUGAUUUCACGCUGCCCGCACCCCAAUAUUAGUGUCAUGCUUUCCUUCUUCUAGUGGAGGAUCUGGGUGUUUUUGGCUAUGUCUCACACAUCACAGCAGCCCUUCCUUGACCCCUGAAACCCAACCCAGGACCUUCUCAUAGCAGCCCCACAGAGUCAGUCUUAUUUAUUUGUUCAGAAAGUUCCUUAAAAUAAAGCCAGGCCAGUUUAGCAGGGGGUGGGGGGAACGCCCAGUUGACUUCAUAUCAAAUAAAAAUCCAGUGGUUUUGAUUUUUUCCUUU